CAAGUCAAUACAUAUAAGAAGUAUUUCAUUACACGCAUACUAGUAAAAACACUCGAGCUACAUCGGGAGACCAAAGAGGAGAUUCAAUGGCAAUACAAGAGAUUCAAACUCGAAUAUUCAAGCUGGAGAAAUACUCAAGCUCGAAAACUCAAGCUUGAACAUUUGAGGUCGAGGAACACUCAAGAUCAGACAAAAUUCAAGCUCGAAUGUGUUGGCUUCCAGUUGAAACGGAAUUUUGUGACAGUUCAAGAUGUUAACCAACAGCAGCUAGAUAAACAGAAGCUAGCCAAUGACGCAUAUGAGCAGGAGAAGAAAAGAAUUGGUACAAAGGAGCCUGAUCAGUAGAUUAACAAAACGAGUAAAAAAGCUAGUGAGCAACAUGUGCAUUUAUGAUGGUGUAAGUUUUUCUCAUCUUUUUUGUAAGAAACUAACACAGAAAAUCGCAACAUGAAAAUGAACCUUGCUACUCUUACUUAGCCUGUGAUACUUAACUUAAUCAAUUCACUCUGGCUAGGAGUCUUCUUGGCAACCUCAGACUUAUAAUAAAGGAUAUGUAAAGAGGUGUCAUGAAAGGAUGGAUUUUGCGUAGAUUGAAUUAGUUAAAUUUUUAUCUUUUAAGUCUUGACAGAAAAUUAUAUGUUAAAAGCUCUGUUCUUUGUUUUUAUUAUGGGCACUUUUGGUGGGGAUGAUCCCACAUUGGAAUUGUAAGUCUCACCACCAAGUUAAGCAGCUGGCUUUGAUUUUUUGAGUUUCCAAGUCCUUAGGAAUCACAGAUUAAUCCAAGAUUCUGCAUUUUGGAAAUUUCGAGAGGACUUGAAAGUUGGAAGCUGCUUUAUAUUGUAAUAGGUUCUUCCAGGUUUUAGUCCUGUAGUUUAGUGUUUACCUUUAGCCUAGUGGCCUAAUGCUAGUGUUUAUCAUUAAGUUAAUUAUGGCUUGAUACAGAUCAAGAAAAGGCUGGAUCUUUCAGUAUGAUUAUACUAUGACAUUCAUGUUUAUAAUUAUGUCAUAAACAAUAGACUAAGAGGAUGCUAUAGUAGAAUUGUCCGAGACUCGAGUGGAUCAUGAUCAUUAAUAAUUGCAUAUAUGAUAUACCUUUGUCAGUUGUGGAUAACAGUAUAAUUCUGAUUACUUCUACUAAGAUUAUAAGGUCUUUUUGGAGAGUUGUUGUGUGAGAUUUCUAUAGAGGUCUGCGCGUAUAGUUGUAUGAGUGAGGGAGUGAUCGUGAUUACUAUCUCCAACGAAAGAUGAGAUAUUGAUUAAAGUGGAAGCAAUUGGUAUCAAUCCUAUUGAUUUUAAGAUCCAGCACGGCUUCCUGCGCCCUAUUGCUCCCAAGAAAUUCCCUCAUAUUCCUGGUAAGUUGUAGUAUAUUUGCUGGUGCAGCUUAUAUAUCCGUUUUUAUCUUUUGCGUGAUGACCAUUAAUUUAAGCACACGUCAAUUUUAGAUUUUGAGUAAUGCUGAUGUUUUUUGCUAUCUUGCCAGGUUCUGAUAUCACAGGUGAAGUUGUGGAUGUUAGAUUUGCAGUAACAAAAUUCAAGAAAGGCUACAAAGUUGUAGCCAUGCUUGGCACCACAGUAAAGAAUACUCUUAUAUCUCCAUUUCAGUUCUGACUUCUGACAAACGGGAGGUGGAUUAGCUGAGGACGCAGUAGCAAAGCAAGAAGUGACCGUUCUAAGGCCACUUGAACUAUCAGCUGGUGAAUGUGUCGCGUUAGGAACUCCAGGGCUAACCGCUUACCAAUGCCUCAUCACAGCAGGAGUAGUUCUGAAAAAAGACGGCCCCCCUAUGAACAUACUACUCACUGCAGCUUCAGGCGGUGUUGGUCACUGUAACUUAGAUUUAGAAUAUUUUGUAAGACUAUAUUGUGACUAUCAUGGUACCGGUUUUGGAUUGUUGGCUACUUGAUGCUUGGAUUGUAAAUUGAUAAUUGAAAUUUAUGGCUAUAUAUGUCUGGCUAUUUGUAUUUGCA